rnacentral:lncRNA from 1 species
AAUGAAUUUCAUAUGAAUUGGAGGGAGUCAGGAAAGGAAUUCUAUACAUUAAAUAUUUAUGUGUCUAAAAAUUCUUAUGUUAUAGUGCUACCCUCACAAUAUGAUGAUAUUGGUAAGUGAAGUUUUCAGGAAAUAAUGAGGAUUGGAUGAGGUCAUGAGGACAGAGACCGCAUGAAUGAGAUUGGUGCCUUUAUAUGGAUCCCAAGGGAGCUUGUGUCACUCUGCUCUGUAAGUGCAAGCGUACAGUGCAAGAAUACAAUGAGAAAACAAUUAUUGUAAUCUAGAAAAAUACCCUCAUCAGAACUCACAUGUUGGCAAAUUCAUCUCCAACUUUCAGCCACCAGAACUUAGUAAAAACAAUUCAGUUUAUGAUACUGUUAUAGUUGUUUGAACUAAUGGAAACAAAUAAGGAGAGCAAAGAAGAGAGACCGAACCCUCUAUCCUUAACUCCUGUUCUACGAUAAUAAUUUCUAUUUUGUAGAGUCAGACCAACAGAAGACCAACAGACCUUCUCUGGCCCCUGAAAACAAUCUUUCUUUUCCCAUGAAGCUGCUAUGGGUGGAAUGCAAGCUCUACUGCCCAGAGACAGGAGAACAACACUGGGACACUGCUCCUACCUAACCUGCUCUCAGGGCUAGAAGAAUGAAUCUGUCACUUGCAACAGCAGCAUCACAUACGGGUGUUUGUUCAAGUUCCUGGCUGAUCCAGCUCUCUGCUAUGGCCUGGGAGAGCAGCAGAAGAUGCUUGGGCCCUGUACCCACGUGGGACAUCCAUAGAAGCUCCAGGUUCCUAGCUUCAGUCUGGCCUAGCCCUGGCCAAUGCAGCAACUUGCGAACCAGGAGAUGGAAGACCUCCUCUCUCUCUCUCUCCCUCUUUCUCUCUCUCUCUCUCUCUCUCUCUCUCUGUGUGUGUGUGUGUGCGUGUCUGUCCCUCUCUCUUUGUAACUGUGCCUUCCAAAUAAAUAACAAUAAUUUAAAAAAAAAAAGAAAAAAAAGAUCUGGAAUCAACCCAGAUGUCCAUCAACUGAUGGCUGGAUAA